rnacentral:rRNA from 1 species
GUACGGGAGGCAGCAGGGAGGAAUAUUGGGCAAUGGGGGAAACCCUGACCCAGCAACGCCGCGUGAAGGAUGAAGGCCUUCGGGUUGUAAACUUCUGUGACAGGGGACGAAAAAAAUGACGGUACCCUGAGAGGAAGCCACGGCAAACUACGUGCCAGCAGCCGCGGUAAUACGUAGGUGGCGAGCGUUGUCCGGAAUCACUGGGCGUAAAGGGCGCGUAGGCGGCUUGACAAGUCGCAAGUGAAAUACCAGGGCUUAACCCUGGGGGGUCUUGCGAAACUGGCGGGCUUGAGUGCAGUAGAGGAAAGCGGAAUUCCUGGUGUAGCGGUAAAAUGCGUAGAGAUCAGGAGGAACACCGGUGGCGAAGGCGGCUUUCUGGGCUGCAACUGACGCUGAGGCGCGAAAGCGUGGGGAGCAAACAGGAUUAGAUACCCUGGU